AAAACCUGAACCCGAAUAAUAUUCGGGUUUGGGUUCGAGUCCAACCGGAUCCAACUCGUACGGAACCUAUUGCCACCGCUAGUUAUAUGUGUGUGUGUGUGUUUGAGAGAGGGCAAAUGGGUAUGGCUAGAAAUACGAGUGGCAAUGGGCCGGGCUAGCCUUGGCCUGGUCUAGCCGAUAUCCUGUAGGCCUAGUCCCCUAGCCCUGUUAGGAUCCGUCAAGCCAGGCUGGGCAAAAAGCAAAUGAAAAGAAAAUAAAAGAAAGUUGAACUUGGCCGAAACUAGCCUUAGUGGGGCCCUUGAGCCACAUUUUGUAGCCCAACCCUACUUUUUUCAGAGGUGAGCUGAUUGGGCCGAGCCACCCGGCCCCUAGAGAUAAAAAAACG
rnacentral:lncRNA from 1 species